rnacentral:rRNA from 1 species
UACGUAGGGUGCGAGCGUUGUCCGGAAUUAUUGGGCGUAAAGAGCUCGUAGGCGGUGUGUCACGUCGAUCGUGAAAACUUGGGGCUUAACUCUGAGCUUGCGGUCGAUACGGGCAUCACUGGAGUUCGGCAGGGGAGACUGGAAUUCCUGGUGUAGCGGUGAAAUGCGCAGAUAUCAGGAGGAACACCGGUGGCGAAAGCGGCUCACUGGACCGGUACUGACGCUGAUGCGCGAAAGCGUGGGGAGCAAACGGG